GAGUUUGAUCGUGGCUCAGAUUGAACGCUGGCGGCAGGCCUAACACAUGCAAGUCGAGCGGUAGAGAGAAGCUUGCUUCUCUUGAGAGCGGCGGACGGGUGAGUAAUGCCUAGGAAUCUGCCUGGUAGUGGGGGAUAACGCUCGGAAACGGACGCUAAUACCGCAUACGUCCUACGGGAGAAAGCAGGGGACCUUCGGGCCUUGCGCUAUCAGAUGAGCCUAGGUCGGAUUAGCUAGUUGGUGAGGUAAUGGCUCACCAAGGCGACGAUCCGUAACUGGUCUGAGAGGAUGAUCAGUCACACUGGAACUGAGACACGGUCCAGACUCCUACGGGAGGCAGCAGUGGGGAAUAUUGGACAAUGGGCGAAAGCCUGAUCCAGCCAUGCCGCGUGUGUGAAGAAGGUCUUCGGAUUGUAAAGCACUUUAAGUUGGGAGGAAGGGACAGUAAAAUUAAUAACUUUGCUGUUUUGACGUUACCGACAGAAUAAGACACCGGCUAACUCUGUGCCAGCA
rnacentral:rRNA from 1 species